rnacentral:tRNA from 3 species
GCGGGGGUCGCCUAGCCUGGUCAAUGGCGCCAGCUUGAGGUGCUGGUGGCUUAGUGCCUUCGUGGGUUCAAAUCCCACCCCCCGCA